rnacentral:misc_RNA from 1 species
GUGACACCCCACCAUCACCGCCGCGCCACACGCGACAACUCCAUCCCCCGUCCGCACCCCUACCCCGAGCAUCACAGCGCCUCCCGCACGAGGUCGUUGCGCUUGUCGAUCUGAUGGCGGCCCAUGGCAAAGGAGCAGGCGGUGAUGGCAGCCACAGCAGAAAGCCGACGCUCGGCGUGAUUCCCACCCGUCGCGAGCCAAGAGGUUCGAGGUCAUUUUUGAGCCAAGAGGUUCGCGGCCACGGGAGCAACCCUACAGAACCAUCACCACCACCGCUCUCUCUUCCUCUGCUCUUCAAUGCCUGCCUGAGCUCACCGCACCUCGCCUCCUCACCGCGGAUCCUCCGUUAAUCCGGUAGAAAAUGGCCGAUGCCGAGGAUAUCCAGCCCCUCGUCUGCGACAACGGAACUGGCAUGGUCAAGGCUGGGUUCGCUGGCGACGACGCCCCGAGGGUCGUCUUCCCCAGCAUCGUGGGGCGCCCGCGCCACAUUGGUGUCAUGGUCGGGAUGGGGCAGAAGGACGCCUACGUCGGUGACGAGGUGCAGUCCAAGAGGGGUAUCCUGACCCUCAAGUACCUCAGCUUACACAUCACAUUAUUCCCCACAUUACAGCAAUCAGUGCAACAAUCAGAG